GUGAACCCUGGGAAUAGUGAUUAACAAAAUAUGCUCACUGAGGAGUGGUAUAUAUACGUGUAAAUCUUUUUCAUUUUCACAGGCAAAUCAGCUCUUCACUUGGUCCUACAGUACAACUGACUGGACGAAACGGCAUUGCAAGGACAUUCAGGCCAUGAAAACUAGACUAGGGUGCCUGUCUAACAAAUCAGACUCAUGCAGCGAUUUUUCAGAAUUCCUGCCUCCUGCUCAGGAGAGAUCCACAAGAUACUUGAAGUUAUCCACUGAUGAAGUGACCAGAUGGGCAGAUUCAUUUGACGCUCUGCUGUCCAAUAAAUGUAAGUCACUUUACAC